rnacentral:rRNA from 1 species
UACAGAGGUGGCAAGCGUUGUUCGGAAUUACUGGGCGUAAAGCGUGCGCAGGCGGUUAUGCAAGACAGAUGUGAAAUCCCCGGGCUCAACCUGGGAACUGCAUUUGUGACUGCAUGGCUGGAGUGCGGCAGAGGGGGAUGGAAUUCCGCGUGUAGCAGUGAAAUGCGUAGAUAUGCGGAGGAACACCGAUGGCGAAGGCAAUCCCCUGGGCCUGCACUGACGCUCAUGCACGAAAGCGUGGGGAGCAAACAGG